CUGAAUUAGUUUUUAGAGUGUAUGGCCUGUACUAUUCAGAGGCCCAUGAUGGGACUGGACGCACAUGAAUGCACGUUGCCCACACCGCUGGAAGACGAGCAGAGUGUGACAAGCAGAGAGCAGCACAGCGGGUUACUAUCAAGCUAGCAUGUUAAAAUUGGAUAGGUUUAAAAUGACUGACUUUAAUUCAGUAACGAACUGGCUUGCUAACUGUUAGCAACAGGUAGCGGCUGUGAUAACAGCUGCAGUAACAUUUAUAUUUUAAUAUAAGUACAUUAUUUCCUAAGGCUGGCUACUUGUGUUAUGUACGUUGACCUGGGUCCUGUUACACCAAUCUUUACAAUUUGGGGUUCUAACAAAUAUACAUUUCUUUACAGGCCAGAAUCUGAGGACUGUGGACAACAUCCAGACUAUUGUAUUUCCAUUCACCACACACGGCUGAUCUUCCAGACUAGAGUAACAGACAGUUCAGUCAGGCAGCAUACAGACAGUUUGUAGUGUGGCAAUGUGGAGCACUUGGACAGAGCCAUGAUACUGAGUUUCUGGAAGAAAUGCAACUGUUACUAACUGACACAGUGCUACACAAAUAAUCCCAUCCACUGUGUGGAUGAAUACCUGUACAUUGUUUUUGUUUUAUUCCCAGGAGGGUAGAGAAAAUACAAAGAUAUUUUUCCCUGUUCUGGAUAAUAUUUUAAUUCUUUUUUAAAUAAAAGAUUGAACAUUUUUUAAAAAGUAUUCACACCCCUUGGAUGUUUAACCCUUCUGUUUCUUUUACACAUGAAAUCAUGGCCAAUAUAAUUAUGCUUUUUUGACAAGAAUUUGCAAAAAAACCCUCUUUAAUAUCAAAGUGCAAACUGGGGCUGAUUGUUCUUAUGUUGUGUGUAUAUAUAAUGCUUUGGCAAUGUUGUUAUUACAUUCAUGCCAAUAAAGCUAAUUUGAAUUGAAUCUGAUUUUAAGAAUUGUCAUUGUUAACAAUGUUAAGAAUUUUUGCAGAAGUUCUAAUCUGAAGCUACAGUAAUGGUUAAAAACUUUUUUCCCCUGCAGUUUUUCCCUAGAAUACAUUGCGCUCAGGAGGGACUGUGUCCUCAGAAGCCUGUGUGUUUACCUCAGUGAGGACAGCAACAUUCUCAUCAAGGAGUGCUUGGAUGUCAACAGUGAGGAAGGUAAGAGAGAGACCAUACAGACCACCAUAGGGCUAAACAUGAUUUGCAGAAAAGGUGCUGAUGAAGAAGACAAGCCAGCGGAUGUUGGAGUGGUGGUCGAGGGUGUGGAACUGCUAAGUGAACUAGGAAGUAUUUCCUUUGGUUGUGACAUGCUGUUUGGCCUGAUCUACACUCUCAACCUGAACUAUCCACAAAUGUAAAUUUGAGUUCUUCCAGAAGGUUUUAAUGCACUUGGAUGGCUACAAACUGUCCCCAAAGGUGGAAACAUUAAAAUUAAGAUGCUUCAGUGAGCUCUUAAGUGCAAUGCUGGAAAGUUUGGCUAGCCACAUUUUGGCUUAAUGGACUUUACCAUUGUUCACGUGGUUUAAAAACACAAACACCAGAACAGCUUAUUGUUCUGAUUAUUUCUGGCAUCUUCUAUAGCCACUUUGUGUUAACUUGCUUAUUUUGCUGUUGGAGUGUUAUAGCAUUUGGACCACUCUUACAUUUUUGCACUUAGAUUGCAUACUGUUACACUAGAUAGAAAGAACCUUUUUUCCUGCAGGUAUUAAGGCCUUUUGCCCUUUUCAUGUUUCUCAUGUCUGACUUGUUCCCAUUCUGCAAAAAGUAUUCCUAGGACUGCGCACUUGACUAUGAAAUGUUUUACAUUGUGCUGCAUUCCUGUUUUAAAUGAUGCUGUAAUCCAGGUCCCGUCUUAAAACUGUAAGAUGUUCUUGGAGGGGAAUGUAUUUGUGUGUAUUGAGAUUGUAAAUGGAGAACAGCAUUAUAAUUUUUUUUCUAUGUGCCAGGAGGACCAUAUCCAAAUGUGGAAUCAUGUAACUUAAUGUUGUAUUGUUCAGACUUGUAUUUGACACUUCUAUGUUAUCAUCACUAUCAGUAUUUGAUAAAAGAGUCUUUUGAAUGGCAAUCUAUGUUUUUUUAAGAUUAUUUUAAAAUGUAUUUUAAGUUACCAUAGUAGAAAUACUUAUUCCAGUGGAAAUAAUUUAUUUUCUUUAUUUUUUAGCCUUUAUAGUUUAUUAUACACUGGAAAACCUUGUGCCCUUGGCCGUUGUUUUUUUGCAAUAGCAGGUCUUGCUGCUGUAAUGUUAAAAUUACUAUUGGACUACCAUUGUUGUAAUGACUUAUAAUAGAUAUGCC